CUCUUUCUAGUUUCUCUGUCUCUCUCUCUGUCUCUCUCUCUCUCUCACGAGAAAGCCGGGGGAGACUAGAGAGAGAGAGAAAGAGAAACAAUCUCGUCGUCAUCGUCAUCAAUGCCCUGGUUUCCUAAAACUCUUUCUUCAGUUUCGUGCUUGCUGCUGCGUCUGUGAUUGCUUCUUUGUAUUGCAAUGGAUUCGUGAGAGUGAUUGGAUAGAUUGAAUAAAGAUUAAAAAAAAAAGAAGAAGGAAGAUGGAGAAGAAGAAGUAUCCGAUUGGACCCGAGCAUUAUACGCUUUUUGAGGAGGUCGGCCAGGGUGUGAGCGCUUCUGUGCACCGCGCUCUCUGUAAGCCCUUCGACGAGAUCGUCGCCAUCAAAAUACUCGAUUUCGAACGUGGAAAUUGCGAUCUGAAUAGCAUUUCACGUGAAGCGCAAACAAUGGUCUUGGUUGAUCAUCCUAAUGUCCUUAAAUCACACUGUUCCUUUGUCAGUGACCAUAACUUGUGGGUUGUCAUGCCGUUCAUGGCUGGGGGAUCUUGUCUUCACAUACUGAAGGCUGCAUAUCCUGAUGGUUUUGAAGAGGUAGUUAUAGCAACGAUACUACGUGAAGUGUUGAAGGGUUUAGAGUAUCUUCAUCAUCAUGGGCACAUACAUCGAGAUGUCAAAGCUGGGAAUAUUCUCAUUGAUGCACGUGGUGCAAUCAAGUUGGGAGAUUUUGGUGUUUCUGCCUGCCUGUUUGAUUCAGGUGAUAGGCAACGCGUGAGGAAUACAUUUGUUGGAACACCUUGCUGGAUGGCGCCUGAAGUAAUGGAGCAACUACAUGGUUAUGACUUCAAGGCCGAUAUCUGGUCUUUUGGUAUAACUGCAUUGGAGCUUGCCCAUGGUCAUGCUCCUUUCUCAAAAUAUCCCCCAAUGAAGGUACUGCUUAUGACCUUGCAAAAUGCACCCCCCGGCCUUGAUUAUGAAAGGGAUAGGAAAUUUUCAAAGUCAUUUAAGCAGAUGAUUGCUAGUUGCUUGGUAAAGGAUCCUUCAAAACGACCUUCUGCAAAGAAAUUGUUGAGGCAUUCCUUCUUCAAGCAAGCUCGUUCGAAUGAUUAUAUUGCACGGACACUUUUGGAGGGCCUGCCUGUUCUUGGAGACCGAAUUAAGGAAUUAAAGAGAAAGGAGGAAGACAUGCUCGCACAAAAGAAAAUGCCAGAUGGACAGAAGGAGGAAAUUUCACAGAAUGAAUAUAAACGAGGGAUUAGUGGUUGGAACUUCAAUCUUGAAGAUGUGAAGGCUCAGGCUUCCCUGAUUCAGGACGUUGAUGACUCUAUAACUGAUGUUAAUCAAGGAGGGAGCUCAAAUUCUUUGUCUGCAUUAGAUGUGGUUGAAAAGCAAUUACAGUUCCAAAACUCUUACCAAGUUGUGGGCAUGGAAGAUAGUCCUGUUAUGCAAUAUCAACCAAUGCGUCUGCCAUUAGUUGACUCAACUACAAAUGAAGUCAAAAUCAAAUGCGACAAAUCUGAUGAUGACUCUAGCAUUGCUAGUUCAUGCAAUGAACUGCACAUUUCAUUGAAUUGCUCACCGCGUCAUGAUGAUCAUGCUGAAAGUAAUGUGACUGAAAAGACUGAUCUGGAGAACAAUGGAAAAAUAUCAGAGGCAACAACCAUUCCCUUUCAUCAUGGAAGGGCAAAUUCAUCAGCCAGCACGAUUUCACCCGAAGUUACUAUUAAAGGAGAGAGCGAUAAAUUGCAAUAUCAGUCCCAGAACACUGCAAGUUUCAAUGCAGCGACAGUUACACAGGCAGCAGAUGAUGUGCUCUCGGAAGUUUCUUCUAAAGCAUCCAGAUCAUCAGCAAACAGUGAUGAACUUGAUGAGAAAGCAAAGGCACCAGUCGUUCAGCAGAAAGGACGUUUUAAAGUUACAUCUGAGAAUGUCGACUUAGAAAAGGUGGUCCCAUCUCCUCCACUGCAAAAGAGUCACAGUCUGCAGGUGAUUACCCCACAACCUCCAAUUCCUCUACCAUCACCUCUACCGUCCCCUACACAACCACCUUCUGAUGCUGCAUCACCAAAUCUUGCUGGCUAUUCUCUUUUCCCAGUGUUGCAUUCUGUUUUGCAGACAAAUAUUGUUCAAAGGGUUUAGGAAACAAAUGACCCUUCAGUUUGAACAUUUGAACAUCCACUGAUAUUUGAUGAUGUUAACUUCGUUACUUUCCCCCUACACUGCAGCCAACUGUGUGGUUGAUGGAGUAGGCAUGCCGGCACAUAUUGCCGUGACAGAGAAAUCUUUGCUUGAAGCAGCUCAUGACAGAGAGAAGGAGUUGCUUCAUGAAAUAGCUGAGCUGCAAUGGAGGCUUAUACGUGCUCAAGAUGAGCUCCAAAAAGUAAAAACAGAAAAUGCUCAGGUAUGAUUCCAUUAUCUAUCUGGUGCUCUCGGGUGGAUAUAGAAGAAGUAUUCAAUUUCAAGAAUACGUACUGACAAGUUUAGGGGAAAAAAACAAAGAUACAAUUACUAAGAGGUGUGUCAUUUACUACUACAGGUUUAUAUUAUUGGUCAUGUUAUCUUGGGGUAGUGAUGAGAAACUAAUUAUCACGUAAUUCAUUGU